AUGGUUAUUUUCUUUUCUUUUCCAAACAGGUCUGGAUUUGGUGUUAACCUUGUUUGUCUACUAGUUUACAUUUCUUCGGGACCCACCAUCUUGCAAUUAUAUUUUCUAUACAGGAGUGAUAUUUGUCAAUACAUAAGAUUAGAAGAGGGCACUUUAAAAUGGACGUAAAGGAUAAAGACGCAUUUCUGAAGAUUCUGCCGGAAUUUUGUCAAACGGUUGAUCCCAUGACACUCAUCAUUGACUUACCAUGUUUAUCCCAAACAGAUAGGGAACAGAUCAUGAACUCUCAGACAGGCGCUUUGCAUGGUUCAACCUCUCUCGCCGCUCAGCUACUACACAGUGCUUUGAUUCGGAGACAACAAGGAUUCCGAGAGAUCGUGUUGGCAUUAAGGAAAAAUGGUCGUGACGAUCUAGCAGACAAAAUGGAUCCUGGUCAUAACAUCAACUAGCUGUAUUGGUAGUGUUUGGAGUUUAAUGAUAUAGAAGUAAAUGUGUGAAUCAG